rnacentral:rRNA from 1 species
CAGUAGCCACGGUAAUACGGAGGGCGCGAGCGUUACCCGGAUUUACUGGGCGUAAAGGGCGUGUAGGCGGCCUGGGGCGUCCCAUGUGAAAGGCCACGGCUCAACCGUGGAGGAGCGUGGGAUACGCUCAGGCUAGAGGGUGGGAGAGGGUGGUGGAAUUCCCGGAGUAGCGGUGAAAUGCGCAGAUACCGGGAGGAACGCCGAUGGCGAAGGCAGCCACCUGGUCCACUUCUGACGCUGAGGCGCGAAAGCGUGGGGAGCAAACCGGAUUAGAUACCCGUGUAGUCCCUGUCUCUUAUAC